GCCAUCAUCGGCUGAACCUGACAUGUUAUGUUAUCUGGGCUAGAGUCAAAGACAUUAGGAAUGAUGUUUGGUGUUAGACUGUUUGUUGCAGUAUGUCACUGACCCAUACGUUCUCUCUGAUUGGUCAAACUCCUCUCAUGGAGGCUGUGUCAGAUGGCUAUACUGAGAUGGGGCAUGUGCUACUGGACAAGAGCGCUUACGCCACCUGUCCAAACCUCCCAAGACACCGUGUGCACCAUUGCUGCAGACAAGGGCCACUACAAGUUCUGUGAGCUCCUCAUCAACACGUUGUUGUUUACAACUAUCAGGUUGAAGGAUAAUAUGAAUUUGCAUCAGGACACUUCUGAGGGGACUCUGGCGAUACACCUGCAGGAUCGAUUCUGGGUAGUCCUUCAAUAUGACAUCGUUGCUAGCUGGGUAAAAUGUCAGAAGAUCUUUUAGUUUUAGUUACAGCACAAUUGCUUGUUACCGCCACCAACUUGUACGGGGUGUAAUAAAAGCCAUGGUUGAUG